UACGUAGGGUGCGAGCGUUAAUCGGAAUUACUGGGCGUAAAGCGUGCGCAGGCGGUGCACCAAGCUCGAUGUGAAAGCCCCGGGCUUAACCUGGGAAUUGCAUUGAGGACUGGUGUGCUCGAGUGCGGCAGAGGGGGGUGGAAUUCCACGUGUAGCAGUGAAAUGCGUAGAGAUGUGGAGGAACACCGAUGGCGAAGGCAGCCUUCUGGGCCAAUACUGACGCUCAUGCACGAAAGCGUGGGGAGCAAACAGG
rnacentral:rRNA from 1 species